rnacentral:rRNA from 1 species
GGAUCAAGGAAUCGGUCAUGCCUUGGUAUGUACUGGUUUUAUUGGUUCUCACCUUCUAAAGAACCACAAUGUCAUUUAUUUGAUGUUAUGGGGAAUUAGGACUGUUACUUUGAAAAAAUUAGAGUGUUUAAAGCAAGCUAACGCUUGAAUACAUUAGCAUGGAAUAGUGAAAUAGGACGUUCGAUCCUAUUUUGUUGGUUUCUAGGAUUGACGUA